CUCCAAAAUAAUUAAGAAUUUCCACAGCCAAGAUAACUACAAAACUUUCUGUUUCCAAACUGACAUAUAAUUAUGAAUAGCGGAUAUAAUAGCUAAUUGACCAGGUCACCAACAAAACAUGAGUUGUUAAUUGUCUGGCCUUAAAUAGAACAUUAAGCUCUCAAAUAGAAAAGAGAAAAAAGAAAUAUAACAAUAUAUAAACAUCAAAAACAAGAAAUAUCAUAAAAUGAUGUUUGAUAAGUAACAACACA
rnacentral:lncRNA from 1 species